rnacentral:piRNA from 1 species
UGUGACAACUGAGCAUUUGUAUUGA